AGAAAGCCUUGGAGGUAGCAUUAAAUUCCUUUGUAAGAAAAUACAGAUGAAGACAAAGUUGAAGUGAGCUGCCCAGUUUGUGCUGCAGGUGUGGAGUCUCCAUGAAGAGCAGAUGGGCAGAGAAGAUCUACGGAUCUCCCUGGUACAUGGAGUCACCUGGAGAAGUGUGAGGCCAUCCAGGAAAGCACUGAGACAAGUAGGGAGAAGAUCAAAAUGAUAAAAUAGUAAUAUGCCAACAGAAAAGGAUUGAAUGGGCAGAGACUGGUAACAUUGUCCUCUCGGAGCCCUAAUGGGCAGGGAUGAAUGGUGACAGACUAUCCUUCACUGGCAGCAGCUACAGACUGAUUCUCCCAAGGUGAAGCGCUCCUUUCUUGUGCCACUCAGAGCCAGGAUGAGAGGGAGCUGCUGAGCAGAGCCCCACGUGUGCCCCUGCCCCACAAACCUGCACAAGCUGUGCUCCAG
rnacentral:lncRNA from 1 species